rnacentral:lncRNA from 1 species
AAUCUAACUAUUACAUUCAUAUAUUGUAAAUUGAUCAUUUUGAAUCAAAUACAAAGCUCAUACAUUUUCUUUACAUCCAUUCAUCCAAUAUACAUAUUCAUCUCUCUAAUGAAUUUAUUACAUUUUUUCAUUCAUCAACAAUAAUAGAUGAAAUACAACAGGUGGCUUUAUACACAACGGUAGUCCGCUACCUAGAGCACGAUAACCAUACUGCG